rnacentral:lncRNA from 1 species
AUAUUUCAUUUAUCGACGCAUAUGUCAAUAAAAUCCGUCAAUAAUGCAUAUUUUACUUAUUAAUUAAAAAAUUUGUCGAUAAAAUUUGCCAAUAAAUGAAAUAUACGUUACUGAUGAAAAAUUCAUUAACAACUACGUUUGUAGAACGAGAAGGAAUUUUUUCACGCAUUUUUCCUCUUUGUCUACGAGGCAGUAUUGUUAUAUAUUCUUUUUCUCGUAUUUCUUCCCCAUUUGCACGAGAAUCUUCUCUUACUUCUUUAUCUUCCACUCCAUCUUUUUCUUCUCUUCCACUCCAUUGUAGCUACAAAUCAAGAUUGUCUUCAUCUUCUUUCAGCAAGGUCGUCGCUCCGUUCAGUCAGGCCGCCUCCAUCUUGAUUCAGUCAGACCGCCUCUAUUCUUUCUCUUUCACAUAACGAUGCAACAACGCAUUGCCACCACCGCAAACUGCCACCA